GAACAAACUCCCUAAUGCUCCUCACGCAAAAACCCUCCAUCUUCGUCGUCUCCUCCCAUUCCCGUGUCCUCCCUCAACGCCGUCGGCUGCCGCUGCUACACUUAACUUCUCCGUCUUUGAACGCCACCAGCUGCUACUACCGUUUGGGUUCGGACACCGCUGCUACCGUUUCGGUUCAAACACCGCGUCUCCUCUCCCUCAACACCACUGCUACCAUUUUAGUUCGAACGUCGCGUCUCUUCUCCCUCAACACCGCUACUACCCUUUGAAAAUUUUUAGAAGACUUUUGCCAAAGACACUUUCAAGAAUGGCCUUCAUCACACAUUCAUGUUCUUUAAAAAAUAUCCAAAAAGUUGUGAAAAAUUCAACGAAGCAAAAAAUGCAGGAGCAGAUUUGGUUGGAGGUGAGGAUUUGAUAGAACAGAUCAAAGGAGGUUUCAUGGAAUUUGAUAAGUUGAUUUCUUCACCAGAUAUGAUGCCCAAGACUUUCAACUGAUGGAAAGGAUUUCUUCACUUCAUACAAUGAAGUUUAUGACAGUUUUGAUUUUAUGGGCCUAUAAGAAAAUUAAACCUUCUCAGAGGGAUCUAUGCCUACGGUUUUGAGAAGUCAUCCGCAAUUCAAUAAAGGAGAAUUGUUCCUCUUCGCAAAGGGCUUGAUGUAAUCCAACAAGCCCAGUCUAGAAUUGGGAAGACUGCAACUUUUUGCUCCAACAUUUUUCAGCAACUUGAUUAUGGUCUUGUGCAGUGCCAAGCAUGUUACUUCCAUUUAAUGUUUGUAUUCUGUUAAUGAAUAAGCUAAUUUUAGAACUUGGUUAUUAUAUUGAGGAGCUAAGCAAACACAAGGUGCUAUAAAGAAAUUUGUCAAUUCCAAGUAUUUUCCAACUAUUCUACUAUGUGCUGGGUGCACUAUUGUACAGUUAAAUUCAAACUCCGAUCAUGUUCUUCAGACACCUUUUCAAGAUCAUGGCACCGUUGAGUGGAUUUGCUGGAGUGUACACUAAGGUUUUGGAAGAAUCUAUUGGAGCAAUGAAACCAUAUUUGCGGCAAUUCGUUGAUGUAUAUCCCUUUUUGUAGGUUUAGUAGUAAAAUUUUGGUUCAAAUGUACUUAUUUAAAUAGUUUGUUCGUACCAAAACAUAUAUGUUGAUUGCUUCAUUGUACAAACACUUUACCAAAAAUUGUACAAAUAUUAGAAAGUGUAUGUUAAAGUAUAUAUAUUAAAGCGUUCACCAUUUCUUUCCA